CGAGAGCACUCACGGUCGCUGGCAUCCACCGAUAGGCGUCUUCAUUGUCGUCGUUGUCAUCACCGCCUCCUAAAAGGUUGUCUUUGAUUGCAGGUGCGAUGGCGCGUGAGAUGGCCGACGACACGAGCAUGCACGCCGUGGCCGCCGGCAUCAGGGCGUCUGACGCGCGCCGUCCCUGUGCAUAGCCAAUGUAGACGCAAAAGGCCCACGAAAAGAAAAACGAGCCCGCAAAGCGACUGACGACGCGCACUGAGACGUCAUCAAUGGCAAAAAACAGGUUGGGCAUGGUCGAAAACACGAGGGCAAAGCCGACAAGGCCCACGGGGCGCCACCAUCCGGCGGUGAGGCGACGCCGCGCCGGCGUGAUCAAUGUAGUAGCAAACCCAAGGGGCAUGGCGGCCGCCCUCGCAAUCGACAUCAGCGCCUUGGUCGUGUAGGGGGCGCCGCCAGGUCGAUCAGCAAUUUCGGUCGUGAGGGCAAACACGACAAAGUUGGGCACCAGCACGGCGAGCCAGUAGAGGCCGGCCGCCGGCGCCAUCCACGCCGCCGUCGCCCACACGCGCUGACCCGCCCAUUGGCGCCACUGGGUCCACCGCCGACGGCCACAUCGAGUGCGCCCCGUGCAUGCGACGCCCACGGUCGGUGUCGCAGCGCCGACCUCUAGGGUGAUGGGCGCCACGGCGCCGAGCGGUACCGGCGGCGCACUGUCAACGGUCGAACCCUUGGACGUGCGUCGUGGUCUCGUGAUCGUUGCUUCCUGCACGCCAAUGCCCGUCUUUGGGUUGGCGUCGAUUGCGCCACGGGACCCGACAAUGGCGCGCCGGUGUCGUUCAUGACUCUUGUGACCCAUCAUGUAGCGUGCGGCUCUCUCUUGCGAGAGCGUCGACCCAUCGGUCGCGAUCGCGGGUCGAGGCGAAAUUGUGGGGUCCCACAAUGCCCAUGAGCGACGACAUGCCCGCAAGCCAAAACAACACACAAAUGCGCAAACAAUGGCUCGUAAGGUCACAAAAAUAGGAAAAAAUGCAAAAAAUUGUGCUCUGC
rnacentral:lncRNA from 1 species